CAAAGGUCAUUGGUCCGACAUUUUAGGCGUUUUUAUAUGCGUUAUGCUUAUCCAUCUCUCCUCCCGUCUCAUUGGCGUUAUGCGCCGGUAGCGGCGGCGGCGACGACGGCUCACACGGCUGGAGCCUGGAGGACUACACCGACCUCCAGGAGAAGGAGCUUUGCUCGGCAGCAGCCUCCAUUGGCAGCGGCUCAUCUUCUCACCGGUCAACAGCGACCUGACUGAGCAGGUGGCUAGAAUCCGGUCAUCAUUACCUUCCGUGUCGCCAACAACAGAAUGCCAUCCAUGAGAAAAUGGAACCCAGUUCUUGCUGGUGAACGUAAAAUUCUACUUGAAGUUCUCCAACCGCAAGCAACUUUGGAGUCCAACAAUCACUGAUUUGUUUGACCGAGGAGCACGUCCAGAAGUACAUGUGGUGUUAUCUGAAGCUUGCUGGAAGAUAUACCUCUUUUUUCUUUAGUUUUUUAGCAUUAAUCCUUUCUGAAGAUGUAAAUAAAGUAGCUGCAUAGUCUUUUUUUUAACAUGCAAAGGCACCAAAAGGUGCCACAUAUUUCAUUCA